rnacentral:rRNA from 1 species
CGCAGGGUAGCUACGUCUGGAAGGGAUAAGCGCUGAAAGCAUCUAAGCGCGAAGCCUGCCUCAAGAUGAGAUCUCCCUUAAGGGCCGUUAAAGACGAUGACGUUGAUAGGCUGCAGGUCUAAAGGCAGUAAUGUCAAAGCCGAGCAGUACUAAUUGCCCGAGAGCUUUCUUCAU